UACGGAAGGCAGCAGUGGGGAAUAUUGCACAAUGGGCGCAAGCCUGAUGCAGCCAUGCCGCGUGUAUGAAGAAGGCCUUCGGGUUGUAAAGUACUUUCAGCGGGGAGGAAGGCGAUGCGGUUAAUAACCGCGUCGAUUGACGUUACCCGCAGAAGAAGCACCGGCUAACUCCGUGCCAGCAGCCGCGGUAAUACGGAGGGUGCAAGCGUUAAUCGGAAUUACUGGGCGUAAAGCGCACGCAGGCGGUCUGUUAAGUCAGAUGUGAAAUCCCCGGGCUUAACCUGGGAACUGCAUUUUGAACUGGCAGGCUUGAGUCUUGUAGAGGGGGUAGAAUUCCAGGUGUAGCGGUGAAAUGCGUAGAGAUCUGGAGGAAUACCGGUGGCGAAGGCGGCCCCUGGGACAAAGCUGACGCUCAGGGUGCGAAAGCGUGGGGAGCAAACAGGAUUAGGAUACCCGGU
rnacentral:rRNA from 1 species